rnacentral:lncRNA from 1 species
GGGAAGGGGUACAAAUAUAUCAGUUGUAAAUGAUGUUUGGAUUCCUGAUUUAAGUUUCACCAGAUUAUCAUCUUUAGUUUAUAAUUUGAGUGAUGUUAAAGUUGCUGAGUUAAUUAACACUAAUAGUAGACUGUGGAAAAAAGAGUUGAUUGAGUCUACCUUUCCAGAAGAAGUAGCUGAUAGGAUUCUUCGCAUUCCAUUGGCAGUUGAGCCUCACGAUGAUCUUCUGGCAUGGAGCGGUGAGCCUUCGAGUGAGUAUGCAGUUCGUAGUGCCUAUAAACUAUUACAAAGUUUGGAUGAAGAUCCUAGAGCUUAUGAGUUACAAACCGACUACAAGAGCUUCUAUAAAAAACUAUGGCUACUUAACCUACCUUCAAAAAUAAAAAUAACAGUAUGGAAAGUAACAUGGAACUAUCUUCCUUUACGGGCAAACAUGCAACAAAGAAGAUUGACAAACAUUAUAAUCUGCCCGAGGUGUGGGAGUGGGACAGAGACGAUGAAUCACUUAUUUAGAGAAUGCCCGAUUUCAGUAUCAGUAUGGGGAGAAUUAGCAUGCCAGAUUUUUCUAUCUGAAUAUAAUUUGGAGUUCCCAGAGUGGCUAGUCUGGGUCUUUGAACAGAGUAAUCCAGUCCAGUGUAGGAUUUUCUGCUGCACUUUAUGGGCAAUCUGGGGAGAUAGAAACGCAAGAGUGCAUAAAAAGGUUAGUAAAUCUGGAAAAGAGAUAGUAAACUUUGUCCACAGUUAUAUUCUUGAAUUAAAUGAGAUCGAAACGAGAAGGCCAAAAGUUUUUCCAGUUGUCAGUAAAUGGAAGCACCCACCUGAUCAGUUUGUGAAGAUCAACUUUGAUGCUGCAUAUGAUGUGAGAUCUUCUCAUGCGGCACUCGAAAUUGUGGCCAGGAACAGCGAAGGAAAGGUUCUCUUGGCAUGCUCGGAAAUCCACAAUCAAGUCGCCUCAGCCUUUGUUGCUGAGGCAAUCGCGUGUAGAAGUGCAACUCAACUCGGCAUGGACAUGAAAUGGGGAAACAUUAUCAUUGAAGGGGAUUCAUUAACAAUAAUCAAGAAGUGCAGAACAAAGAGCCAAUAUAAGUCAUUGAUAGGGGCGUAUAUACAUGAUAUUCAACAGAUCUCGCUUAAAACUCAAAAAUACAGUUUUGAAUAUACUCCAAGAACAGCAAAUCGUCUAGCACAUUUCAUUGCAAUCGAAACAAUGAAAAGCAAGAAGGAAGUUUACCUCAUAGGAAGAGUCCCCGAAUAUGCAGAAAAAUUGAAGGAGAGGAUAGUGUGAGAGAACCAGAUUGAAGGAAAUAUAAGGUUGAAGAUGGAAAAUGGAGAGGUUAGAGUGGAUAAUCAAUAGGCUCGGCUAAGAAGCUCUCCUUGGGAAUCUGGAAUAGUCUUUAACAAGUAAUGUCAGAUGAUAAGAAAAGACGAUUUUUCCAAAGCGUUUUCAGAUUAGGAAUAGUGAUAAAUAAUGAAUGCGUUUUACAGAAC